UACGUAGGGACCAAGCGUUGUUCGGAUUUACUGGGCGUAAAGGGCGCGUAGGCGGCGCGGUAAGUCACUUGUGAAAUCUCUGAGCUUAACUCAGAACGGCCAAGUGAUACUGCAGUGCUAGAGUGUGGAAGGGGCAAUCGGAAUUCUUGGUGUAGCGGUGAAAUGCGUAGAUAUCAAGAGGAACACCAGUGGCGAAGGCGACUACCUGGCCUGUUCUUGACGCUGAGGCGCGAAAGCUAGGGGAGCAAACGGG
rnacentral:rRNA from 1 species